GCCUGGCUGGCUCAGUCGGUAGAGCGUGUGACUCUUGAUCUUGAGGUCAUGAGUUCAAGCCCCAUGUUAGGCG